GACACAAGGUAAGAUUUGUACUUUAUCAAGUGUGUUUUCAAUCAGAAUUUUUCAGUUUUAUAAGGGAAAAGACUUCAAAGGUGAAGACUAACAGGUUUUGUCCCAAACAGGGCCACUGUUAACCAUGCCAUAUACUGCAUUGCAACGUCAGGUCACUGGAUGUACAGCAUGAUCAUGGACUUUUAAUGGACUUCUUUUCCAUUCAGGAGAGAAACCAGUCAACUGCUCCUACGUCGUCAGUUUGAACUUGGCAGUGGUAAUGAUGGCUACAGAUAAAGGUGACGAUUCCUCAUCAGAACACCC
ensembl:lncRNA